UACGUAGGGUGCAAGCGUUAAUCGGAAUUACUGGGCGUGAGGCGUGCGCAGGCGGUUUUGUAAGUCUGACGUGAAAUCCCCGGGCUCAACCUGGGAAUUGCGUUGGAGACUGCAAGGCUAGAAUCUGGCAGAGGGGGGUAGAAUUCCACGUGUAGCAGUGAAAUGCGUAGAGAUGUGGAGGAACACCGAUGGCGAAGGCAGCCCCCUGGGUCAAGAUUGACGCUCAUGCACGAAAGCGUGGGGAGCAAACAGG
rnacentral:rRNA from 1 species